rnacentral:rRNA from 1 species
UACGGAGGGUGCAAGCGUUAAUCGGAAUUACUGGGCGUAAAGCGUGCGCAGGCGGUUUGUUAAGUCCGUUGUGAAAGCCCCGAGCUCAACUUGGGAAUUGCAGUGGAUACUGGCAGGCUGGAGUACGGUAGAGGAAGGUGGAAUUCCCGGUGUAGCAGUGAAAUGCGUAGAUAUCGGGAGGAACACCAGUGGCGAAGGCGGCCUUCUGGACCAGUACUGACGCUCAUGCACGAAAGCGUGGGGAGCGAACGGG